GUUCCGACUCCUUCCCCCGGCCCUCCGAGGCGGUGCUGUCCCUGACCGUACGGCUGGAGCUAGGUGGUAUUAUUGCCUUAGAAGAUCACAAUUUUACAACCAUCAUGUAAUGAAUAGAUUCAGAGCAGUAGAAAUUUCCAAGACUCGUUACUGGGAAAGGCAAUGAAAUUUCUGUAAGAGUCAGAGGAAAGAGCUUGCACUGGGAACCCUGCACCAGGCGGUUUAGGAGAUGCCGACCAUCAGAGCCAGAGAUGACCCUGAGAAGGGAAGAGAUCCCUGGGAAUUCACAGAAACCUGGGGGAUUUCAUUUGAACAAAAUUCUGGGAGAUGAAAAAAGAAGCCCAAGAAACUGCAGAAUUGCUGUAAUACCCUCAUUCGAUUGAUGGGGAGCCUAAGGUCAGAGGGUAGGGGCCCAGGAUACUCGGCAAACAAAAGCCAAUUCUGGGACUUGAGUUCUUUGGAUUCCUGGACAAGGCGUUUUACCCUCUGAACUCUUCCAGCCUGUCAGGUCUUUUCAAGAAGAAGAGUAAUAACCAUGUGAAGCCUGACCUUCAAGUGACCUCAGGCAUUUACUCCUCUCAGCCAUCUUCUUCAAGUCCUCCAGUGAUGUCAGGACUUCUGCAUGGCUGAGCCUCCCCUGCACCCCGCAGUGGCCCUGGAGGCAGAAGGUGCUCAUCAGUCUUCAAAAGCAGAGAGGAGAGGGAGCUGCCGCUUUUAUCAGCACCAGCAGCACCGGGCAGGCCCUAGGCAACGUGCCAGGGGCUGCAUCCACAUCCUGAUUUAACCACCAUCACCAGGCUCUGGGGGAGAGAUGGCUCCCACUUCACGGAUGAGAAAACGGGACACUCAGAGAGGAAAAGGCGGAUGAUCAGGAGGCCUUCAGCUGCUGGAAGCUUCAAACUGAGGGGUCUCUGCUGCCAAACCCUUCCUGCUCACGUCCUCCCCCUGCUUCCGGGUACUGGUCCCCAAAGGAAGCAAGGUUUCUAUCUGCUCCUUCCUUCCUAUGUAGGUCAAAUUCCGUUCCAGCAACUCGCUGGGCCUUGCCCAGUUUGAGCCAGGACAGCCCAGGCCCAAGCUCAGAAACCUCUCGGUCGCUUGGGUAGAUUUUGCUUUAAGCCCAGGUUGGUCAACUAUGGUCCGUGGCCAAAUCCAGCCUGCCAGCUAAGAAUGGGUUUUACAUUUUUAAGUGGCUGGGAAAAAAAAAAAAAAGGAAGACUAAUAUAUUGUGAUACAUGAAAAUUGUAUUAAAUUCAAAUUUCAGGGAAGUUCCCUGGCAGUCCAGUGGUUAGGACUCAGUGCUUUCACUGCUGUGGGCCUGAGGUUCAAUCCCUGGUUGGGGAACUAAGACCCGACAAGCCGUGUGGCUCGGCCAAAAAAAAAAAAAAAAAAAAAAAAAAAUUCAAAUUUCAGUUACCAUUAAUAACAUUUGAUUGGAACACAGCCAUACUUGCUUGUGAAGACUAUAUUGUUUAUGGCUGCCUUUGUGCUACAACAGCAGACCAUAUGGCCCACAGAGCCGAUGAUAUUUACUUACAAUUUAGCCCAUUACAGAAAAAAUUUGCCCAUCUCUGCACUCCCAGGUGCUCUGAAUUGCCAAGUGCAAACCCAACACACGAGCUGCACAGGACUUUUCAAAGCCUUCCAGGCAAAACCAAAUCAUCUUCCAAAAAGGUGUUAAAUGCAAACAAAUGACUCCCUGAGUCAGCACCCGGGCAUCUGGAGAAGCUGACACCCCAGAGAGGUACCCAUUCAGCGGAGAGGUGGGCACCAAUUUGACUAUGAUAAGAGUAAUUUGAUAAGACCAUGGGAAUAUGUAAAGGUCCCCAACACUCUCAGCAGACAAGUUGAAGUACCCCACUUGUGUGACCUUGAAAAAUCCUCUUCCCCUAAGACCUCCUGUUCUCCAUAAGAGAGGUUUCCUAAGAAUAAGAAAUUAUAUUACUAAGGAAAGACAAUACCUGAGUGCAUGUUCCCAACACUAUUCUAGUCAAUGGGGAUUCAGCAAUAAACUCAACCGAAUCCCUGCUUCAUGGAACUUGAUAUUUUAGUUGGGGGCUGGCAGCGGGGGGUAAGGUGGAAGAGUAGAAAAUAAGUACCUAAAAUACAUCAGGUGGUGAGUGGUAUGAAGAAAGAAAGUGAUGAGGACAAUCACUUAAUUCUUAAUCACGGUGGGACAUCUUGUAAUGGAAUAUAUGCAGCUAUUGGAAAGCAUGCAACACAUCUGUAUGUACUUGAUACGAAAAGAGUGCCAGGUAAAAAAGCAAAGUACUAAACAACGUAUAGAAUGUACAUUUUGUGUAAGGAAGGAGGAGAUAAUGAACUUGUAUAAUGGCACUUCCUCAUAUGUGCAGAGAGAAACACUGCAAGUAUUGGUAGGUGACCAGGAUGGGCUGCACUGGGCUGCACAGAACUAUGUAGAAAGUGUGAUCCAAUUACACUAAAUUCCAUUUACAGGCACACAAAUACACAUGCACAAAAAGAGGUCUGUGAGGGUAAACACCAAACCAUUGCAACUGGGAGAAGAUGUUUACUCUCUUACUUUGCAUGCUUCUCUAUAGUUGGCUCCAUUACAGUACUUCUGUAAUUAAAAAAAAAAAAAAACCCUGCAACCUGACCUAGAGAGGUAGGUAUUAUCCCUGUUACAGUUGAGGAAAUUAGCUCCAACAGGAGCUGUGGCUGGUCUGAGGUCAAAUGGUAGAGCUGUUUCUGGUGGAGCCCUUUCCUCCUCACUCCCCAGUGCCAAAAUAGUGGGGGUGAACUCUGGGCUAGGCGCUCUGGGCAGAUGACCUGUCCAGCAGAGGCCUCAGUAGCCAAAGGCUCGAUAAGCUGGGGUCUGGCGACAGCUCUCUCCCCUUCCAGGGUACCAAGGCCCUGGGGAGGCAAAAGCCAGCAAGGUGGUGGUGCUGAAGUCUUAGAAAGGGUGAACACUGCCCUCAUUCUGCACGAGUUCAAGGUCUGGGAGCCCUGCUCCGUUACUGCAAAACCCCAAUGUUUAUGCAUUAGCUAUUGAGCUACUCCCUCCCUGGCCUGGAGGCUGGAUGGCAGAGCCUUAGGCUCCACUCCAUGCCUCCCACGGAGGAGGCCGGAGGCCGGUAACAACUGGAGGUUUGUUUUGGUGACCAGGCCUAGACACAGCCUCUCUGAGCCCAUAGUUUCAACCAGGAGCCUUCUCAACCUCUACCAUUCUGGGACGCAGGUUACCAAACUGAGUGGCUUUGUCACCUCUCUGCCCAGGAGUGAGGUGGGGGAGGGGUGAGGUUGCAGGUCCCAAGCCAAUGCUGCACACCUCCCCUUUGUCCCAGGCCUCCCCAGCUCUGCCAGCUAGGGUGGGAGGGGGAGACAACUGGAUGCCUGUACCCUUGGAGCUCGAGCAAAGCUCUAGGCCCUGACAUCCUGUGACCAGGAGGCACUGGGUAAAGCUGAGCUCCUUGAAGUCACAAGCUGAUUACAGGGGGAUUGGGGGUUGACCCAGCUCCAGGCCAGGUAGGGUUGGUCCCGGAACGGCUCAGCAUGGGACAGGGAUCAUCAUGGAGAUGUUUACGAUGUCCGUACACCCAAACUGGACGUGCAAAGGGUCCUUCCACUGAAAAUAGCCGCCACCCUGCUUGAGGGCACUGGGCAGUCUCGCCACAACCACCAUGCGGAGUGAACCUCCAUUUUACAGGGAAGAAAACCGAGGCUCUGAGGAAGGCCACUUCCCCAAGGUCAUAGUCUUAUGAGGAUGUGUUUUGUUUCCAUUCACAGAAGGCUUUCAGUUGUCAAAUUAUAUCUAAUCCAACUAUUAGACUGCACCCAGAAAGAGGUUGGAACGUCUGGGAGUCUGGGAACUCCUGCUCAUUUGGGGGGAGGCAGGGCAGCCACAUCGGUUGACCCAUCUCUGGGCCUGGCACUCUCACCCACGGGCUACUCUGCAAACCAGCUUCCUGACAAAACCCCUACUGGAGAACUAGCCAGCGGGAACUUUAAUGAUUUACCCAACCAAGCGAUACAGCCCGGGCAUCCUGGGACUCCCCAAAAGCUCAUGUUGCCCGAAUGCCAGACUUCUGGACAGAGGCUGCAACCCAGGUAGCAGGUCACCUGGGGCCCAGGUAGGUGCAAUGCAUCCUGGGAAUCCAGAGAAACAAGGGAUAUCUAUGGAGCAUCCAUGGGGACAGACACAUUUAUUUCUGAAUUCUUACAGACACUCUAAUGACGAAAAUGACAUCAUUCUGCAGACGUGGCAACUGAGCUAAGCUGGAAUUCAAAACCACAAAUGCAGGACUUCAAAAGCCUAUGCUCUUCCGUACCACUGAGGGGCUGAGGAACCCCACGGGUUUCUCAUUUCUCCUUUGUCUGGAGGGCGGAGCGGCAGAGUCCUGGGGCACCACUGGGGCGCCAGGAGGGACUAGUUGGGAGUUCUUCACAAAGGGCUGGGUGAGACAUCUGGGGGCAGGGCUCACCCUCAUCUGCUGCCCAGGACGGAGCAUGAGCAAAGCGCUGGCUGGGACAGGAGGGUCUUCAACCUGUCUCCUCCCUACUUCCUACUCAGUUAAACUCAGCACAGUGAGACGCAGAGGAGCACGACAGAACGCAGGAAAGUCAGCUGAGUCAACUGAGAAGAUGAGGAGGAACACAGCCGAAGGAACUUCAGAACUAGACACACCUGGUUUUAAGACCUUGGGCAAGUGAUAUAACUUCUCCAGGCCUCAGUUUAACCUCUUGCACAAAAGGGCUGGGCUUGCUGAGUGAAUCAGCAGCUCCAAAGGAAAGAGCUUUUUUCUACAAUGUAUACAGGAUGAUUCAUAGAAAGU